AGUGGAUGGGGAGCAACCUAGUUGUGCGUGUGUAAAGGUAGUGCCAAGAAAAGCGAUGAUCAUGUUGAAAAUCAAUUCCCGGUACCCGAAACCGACACAGGUGGGCAAGUAGAGAAUACUAAGGGGCGCGAGGUAACUCUCUCCAAGGAACUCGGCAAAAUGACCCCGUAACUUAGGGAGAAGGGGUGCCACCGAGAGGUGGUCGCAGUGAAGAGGCCCAGGCGACUGUUUAGCAAAAACAUAGGUCUCUGCAAACUCGAAAGAGGAGGUAUAGGGGCUGACGCCUGCCCAGUGCCGGAAGGUUAAAGAAGUUGGUCAGUUUUAGGAUGAAGCUAGCGACUGAAGCCCCGGUGAACGGCGGCCGUAACUAUAACGGUCCUAAGGUAGCGAAAUUCCUUGUCGGGUAAGUUCCGACCCGCACGAAAGGCGUAACGAUCUGGGCGCUGUCUCGGAGAGAGGCUCGGCGAAAUAGGAUUGUCUGUGAAGAUACGGACUACCUGCAUUGGACAGAAAGACCCUAUGGAGCCUUACUAUAGCUUGGAAUUGUGUUCGGGCUUCCUGUGCGCAGGAUAGGUGGGAGGCGAAGAAGGUAUUCUUGUGGGGAUACUGGAGCCAACGGUGAGAUACCACUCUCAGGAGGCUAGAAUUCUAACUUAAUUAAGGACAGUUUCAGGUGGGUAGUUUGACUGGGGCGGUCGCCUCCAAAAAGGUAACGGAGGCGUACAAAGGUUCCCUCAGACUGGUUGGAAAUCAGUCGCAGAGUGCAAAGGCAGAAGGGAGCUUGACUGCGAGAAGUACAGUUCGAGCAGGGUGGAAACACGGUCUUAGUGAUCCGACGGUGCUGUGUGGAAGGGCCGUCGUUCAACGGAUAAAAGUUACUCUAGGAUAACAGGCUGAUCUCCCCCAAGAGUUCACAUCGACGGGGAGGUUUGGCACCUCGAUGUCGGCUCAUCGCAACCUGGGGCGGAAGUACGUCCCAAGGGUUGGGCUGUUCGCCCAUUAAAGCGGUACGUGAGCUGGGUUCAGAACGUCGUGAGACAGUUCGGUCCAUAUCCGAUGUAGGCGUGAGAAUAUUGAGAGGAGCCUUCCUUAGUACGAGAGGACCGGGAAGGACGCACCGCUGGUGUACCUGUUAUGAUGCCAAUUGUAAACGCAGGGUAGCCAAGUGCGGAGAGGAUAACCGCUGAAAGCAUCUAAGUGGGAAGCCCACCUCAAGAUGAGUAUUCUGGUGUAAGGUCACGGGAAGACGACCCGUAAAUAGGCACGAGGUGGAAGUGCAGAGAUGUAUGAAGCCGAAGUGUACUAAUAGACCGUCGGCUUGACCA
rnacentral:rRNA from 1 species